GAGUGCGUCUUUAGGAGCGAGGCUCCCUUGGGAGGUCUUAGGUCAUUCACAGCAUCCUUGCAGGGAUUGUGGCAUCCUGGUCUCUUUCACACUCUGCCCCGAGCGAGAGUCUACUUAGUGCUGUUAGAGAGAACAUGGGUGUGUAGCCAUCUACCAGAGCAUGGCUAUCCUUGAACGAUGGUUUACCUGAAGCAAACAUCUCCCGGUGGCCUUUAUGUACAAUAGUUUCUCAGCAAUCACAGGUUUGUUAGUACAUUGCUGAGAGCCAUAUCCAAUCCCAAAUACUGCCCUGAGGCUGUAAGAUUGUCCCAGUGCCCCAGAAGCCUAUGGUCCCAGGAAGGAGACAGUGUCAGUGUGUUGCAACAGACCCCUGAACAGUGUUAUCAUACCGAGUGUUUGCAAACCAUCACAUGGACCACCUUCAGAAAGCUGUCAUCCCAAACUCAAAUCCGGGAAGAGCAGAAACAGAAGGGAUGCAGAUGGCAGCCUUACCUGCCUGUCAUCUGCCUUGCUGUGGCCAGCAGCUGCUCAGCUCUCCAGACCUCAGACCCUGUCUGGGUUACUCCGGCUGGAUGAAGAACUC